GUGGGGAAUCUUCCACAAUGGACGAAAGUCUGAUGGAGCAACGCCGCGUGAGUGAAGAAGGGUUUCGGCUCGUAAAGCUCUGUUGUCGGGGACGAAUGUGCAGUAUUUGAAUAAAGUACUGCAAUGACGGUACCUGACGAGGAAGCCACGGCUAACUACGUGCCAGCAGCCGCGGUAAUACGUAGGUGGCAAGCGUUGUCCGGAAUUAUUGGGCGUAAAGGGAGCGCAGGCGGGAAGGUAAGUCGGUCUUAAAAGUGCGGGGCUCAACCCCGUGAUGGGAUCGAAACUAUCUUUCUUGAGUGCAGGAGAGGAAAGUGGAAUUCCUAGUGUAGCGGUGAAAUGCGUAGAAAUCAGGAGGAACACCAGUGGCGAAGGCGACUUUCUGGACUGACCCUGACGCUGAGGUGCGAAAGCGUGGGUAGCAAACAGGAUUAGAAACCCCAGUAGUCC
rnacentral:rRNA from 1 species